GCAGAUCGCGGGAGAGCCCAAUCACGGGGCGAGCUGGACCUGGCUGUGAUCAUUUAUAAUCCUUGACUCCUCCGCUCCGCCACUUGUCAAGAUGACAGGGGUCAUCCGUGAAUAACACUUCACGCUGAUGAAUGGCUCUUGCCGGCUUUCGGCUCUGAUGAGGGGUCUGCCCGCCGCCGAUUGAAAACACUAAUGAACUUACUGCGCCAUUUGAAAUUCACACGCACCAACAAAAUGGGGGGUGGGCAUUUCAGGUCAGCUGAGUCACCCGAGGAGGUGGCAGUGCAAGACACUGCCGGGAAGACGGAUUCCGAGGCAGAAGGGUGUAAUUAAGGAUUUCCACCCCCGGUAGGCGGCCCGUCCUUUGCAGAGCCUCUGAAAAUGACCCGCGCCUUCCUUUCCACAGUGUUCUUUCGUCCGAGACCGAAAAGCGCAAAUGACCUUUGGACAGGGAAGGGAGGCAGUAAACACUCAGACUUCCUUACCAGCCCCUGGUGGGCACUGCAGCAGAACAAUUGUCUGCCCCCCAGGUUCAAGCACCUAGGCCUCCGCCCCGCAUCACCUGGCCAGGGGCGGACCCGGGAGUCCUCCGAAGGCUCCACUCCCCACUUUUACUACUCUUCUUUCCUCUCCAUUCUCCCCUCAGAUUAGCGGCCGGACACUGUCCCUGCCUCGAUUUUGUUUGCUGUGGGAGGGAAAAAAAAAGUUUGCUGCUCCUCCCAAGACACUGGCCACUUUCUACUCACUGAAGUUCCCACCGCAGCGCUGGCUCCCGGCUCCCUAGCUCCCGCCCCCUGUCUGCAGGAAAGCCCUCCCCCGGAGCUUCCGAAACUGCUGGAGGUUCCAGAGUUUUGUAGCUCCGAAUGGGCGACCUGAGCCGAACCGCUCUCUGGCUGGGUGGUCGGCGGGAUCCUUCAGGCUCCUUUCGGGUCCGGGACGGGGCGGCGGCAGAGGUGGGGCGUGCGUGCUUGGGGCUGCCGAGUGAGUGCGGCUCCCUGGUGCGCGCCCGAGCAUCUCCCCGCCCUCUCCUGGGACCAGCAGUCUGCCCGUGGAGGGCUAGGAGCCCGCGACCAGGCCUGCCCCGGCCGUCGCCAACCUGUCCUUGGAAGCGUGGCGGAGACUGGUGCGCUCUCAGCCUCGUCGCGCCAGCCGCCUCGCGCCACCCUCCACUUUCAGCUUCAGAGCAGAGGAUUCCGCCGACCUCCACCUGUACCUGUACUCGGCCGUUAGGAAAUCCACUUGCAUUUUUAACUACCGUGCAGAACCAGAAACAGAUCGAGCACUGGGAGAACAAGGACGACGCCUCCUAGGAAAGCCUGAACCUUUAUGUUAGUUUAUCCAAAGUUUGGGCUAGAAGUGAGGAGAAUCCCUAAACUCGAGGUGGUGUGCCCAGACCCACAGCCCGUGUUCCCGAAGUUGCUAAGUGCCCGAGCGCAGCGCGUUAAGUAGAGAAGUCUUGGUAGUAAGCGAACCCGACCCGGCUCUCGGGGCGCUAGUGACGGAAAGCAGCACGCAUAUCUUUGCGGGAAGAAUCUAGAGUCGCCCUGGGAUAGAUCCAUCUCCUUCUGCCACUGAAUUUCACACUUGAAAAAGAUAAGGUCAUGGGGGCGGAUGAAUGAUAUCCCUCACUCAUUUAGCCAUUCUUAUUAUUAUAUAAAAAAAAGGCUUGUCAAUUAUGAAGGUGUGUCCCAGAUAUUACAUGAAGAUCAUGCAAACUACUUGAAAUUUGAAUCCGGACAUGAUCGUAAGGAAACUCUUUCAUAAAGCACUUUUGUGGCCUAGUUCCCACACACACACAAAAGUAUUAGGUCUUUAAAACUUUUCCAAGUAGUAAGUGAGACUCCCUCUUACUGUCUACGAAUACACAAUAAAGAGAUGAGACACUGCCCCAAUCCUAAAGAGGCCAGAACUGAAGUGCUACAUUGUGUGAGUUAGGGGAUGCUUCUUUUUUCCAGCUCUUUUUUCUAGAAUCCUCAUUACAGCUAACGCUGGUAAUAAAGGUAGGAAAACAAUAGAACUCAUAAAACUUAGAAAUGGUAAUAAAUCUUGGCUCCUGUCUCUAGCCCAGUUCCUUCUUACAUGAGAUUCAAAGUUUUUCAGUAUGCAAUGCUGAACGUUCACACUAUGGUUGCAAAAUAGAAAAAAAUACUCUAGAACUCAUUAAUACGGCCCUGCGCACUCUAUGCCAGGCGUCGCUGGUGGACAAAGCGCGCAGGGGUCCUCCUCUACGUCUGCCUGCGCCUGUAAUCCAGGCAGCUUACGUGUGUUAAAUUUGGGUCUCUCUCUGUCUCUCACACAAAGAAGUUCCAUCAUUUGAGGCCGUUAGGAAAAGCUGAUGUUGUGCAGUGCCAAACUACCACACGCUUCCUCCUUCGGAUGAAUCCCUGGAAAGCAGAGAGGCAGCUCGCUACGUGACCAUCAUGCUUUUUACCUCACUGAGCUGUUGUCAAGAGAGGGCGGGGAUGGCGGGCAGCUCACGUCGUGCCCUCCGCAGCAAUAAAAACUGGAGCGGGAGAAGAAAUGCAAGACAUCGCUGUCUGUUUUGCAAGCCUCUGGCCGCUCUCAGCAAACUCUGCCCGGCGCGGCUGGUGACUUUGCGGUGUGAACGCAGCCGGUCGUGCUCGGGAUAAUGGGACCGAGCUGGCGGCAUCGCCCUCCCGUGGGCCCCUCUUGCCACACAGAUGCGCAGCUCUCCAAAAGGAAAAUGUGGCCCAGCAACCCUCGCCUAGCCCUAGUCCUAGGAAUGCAUGCCUGGGGCCUUUGGAAGCCUCUCAAAGGGCUGGGGGGCGGGGGGGAGGGAUAUAAUGGGCCGAACCUCUGGAUUCAUUUUGGGGAAGAGGAGACAGGUUCUUGCCCCACUACUGAGGCAAGGCCAACAGCACCCUGCCCUGCUGCUCCACCGCCUCCCCGCGGGUCAAGUCUCAGCCGAGUGUCGCUGCCCACCUGAAGGUGACACCUGUCCAUUUUAGUCAGCAUCACAUGCGCCUUCCCUUUCUCCCCUUUGGGGUCUGUCCGUUUUCUCCUCCUGUCCUAAAGAGCCAGCUUGGAACUGAAGGGGCCGGGUAGCAGCUGUUUGUGCCUCUUGCCCGUGCAGACUCGAGGGUCUCCGCAGCCACUUCCUCCUUUAACACGCGAGGCUUUCAGGCGUGCAGAAGGGGACCGCCGGGUCAGGCAGGUAUUAGGCUCUCCAAGGACACUUGUGGACAUCACUGGAGUUUACCUAUUGUUUGGACUUUAUUACAUCUGCUUUAGCAAACGGAGGCAUGAGCGGCCUGUCUGCUGGGUUCAAACCCAGUUGCUGCCCCGGCUGCAACCUCUCCCACUCAAGAGACCCUAGGAACGAUGAGGAACGGGGUAGAAAUGACCAGGGGAGCCAAAUCUCAGGUACCGAGACCUUCCAGCUCACCCCUCAGGCUCAGGAAAGCCAAUAACCCACAUAUGCCCAAAAGGAGCUUAUGUCUCAACUGAGAACAGCAAAUAGGUGAUGGGCCACUUUAGAACAGAGGCUAAAGGCUGGUAGCCACUGAGCAAAACCCAAAUUCUAGGCACCUGAGGUGUUUCCCUUACACAAGUGCCUUCACAGGUAGCAAGCAAUUAAUCUGCAACAGUGAACAACACUAAAACUUAAAUUUUACAUGGAAGUCUCUCAAGUAGACAAAGUUAUUAUUGGGUGGGGUUUUCCCCCCACUGGCAAAAAAAUAACUUAUCCCUUGGCUGUUAGAUUGAGGGAACUAUAAAACAAAUAUUUUAAUUCGAUCACUGACAAAGUCAUAAAAUUCAAUGACUGUUUGUAGAGGAAAACAUGCUUUCAUUAUCUUAAUUAAAGCAAGAUAAGCCUCUCUCAAUGUGCAUGCAUUUUGGAGCCACUGAAUGGACUGGUGAUGAGACGAAGCAACCUUUAAUUGGGACCAUGCUUCUCCAGUACAUUCGUUUGUAUUCCAUGGUGUAAACCGGGCCUUACGCGUGGCUCCGACCUUCGGUGGAAAUGCAUUUGCGUAGCACCACCCAGGGGCUCCCUUGCUUUGGCUAGAGCCUCAUAAAAGACCCCAGGUUUUGCGAAGGAUUUUGAACACCAGCGUCUUUUAACAUGUGGAACUUUCGGUUUUGGUUUAGCUCUGUGAACGUAUUUAAAACUUGCUACAUUAUUCCACAGUGAAAGUUGGAACCUUUUUAAGAGUUAUCAUAGAGUGCCUUUUAACAUCUGUCAUAUUUUCUAUAAACAACUUUUCAGUGAGAAGCGUAUAUAGUGUACUCGAGGUAGGCAUUAGCUGCUGGCAAGGUUUAUGAUACAAUAGUGACACUACAGGACAAUUUUUUAGUCAAACAACACCCGUUAGAUAUUUCAGGGUCCAGCUUAUAUGUUAACUUGUAAAUAUAGGUUAAAAAUAUAGGUAUCAAGUGACUAAAUUCAGUAUCAGACAAAUUGAACAUCUUUUUAUUUCCCAGAAGUGCCCUACUCUUUCUCCUCCCUUUGGUGACCUCUUAGUCUGGAAUGCUCUGCAUCCGGGGCCCCUGGAACACAUAGUUUUUAAAGUACCUAUUAGUGAUACUCUCCUCCCGUUGGCAGUGCUUCCACUGUGUUUUCUGCAUGUAAUAAAGGAUGGCACUGUUUUUUGCAUAGGUCUUUCCUAAUAGCUGAGCACUCUUGGAGUGUAGGGGCUCAACCUUAUGCCUCUUUGGACACACAAGCCUAGCCCAUGGGCUGGCAUAUAGGAGCUGCUCAAUAAAUGUUUGUUGAACGAAUGAGUGGAUACACGAAUAAAAUAUUUUCAUUGUCUUUAGCCCCUCUGACUUUCUUUUUUAAACAGGGGUAUGUCAUAAAUAAAAUUUACCUUGAAAAUGCAUUUAAGUACACUGUUCUACUUCUCUGACCAUGAAGUUUUUAAUGGGACAUCGUUUUAAAAUUCUGGUCAUUACAACGAACCACUUUUGACCUUGGUUGACUUUUCUCAGAAUCAUAAUGCGAAGUAAAGACAAAAACAAUGAGAAAAGGCAAAGAGAUCAAAUUUUGGUUUUCUCU
rnacentral:lncRNA from 1 species